rnacentral:rRNA from 1 species
AUUGAACGCUGGCGGCAUGCCUAACACAUGCAAGUCGAACGAGUGGCGGACGGGUGAGUCAUGUGUGGGUAACUUCCCCUCGUUUGUGGGUAACUACUGGAAACGGUGGCUAAUACCGCCUACCAUCGGCUUUGCCCCGAUGGGAUUAGCUCGUGGGUGGGGUAACGGCUCACCGAGGCGACGGUCCCUAGCUGGUCGGAGAGGAUGACCAGCCACACUGGAACUGAGACACGGGCCAGACUCCUACGGGAGGCAGCAGUGGGGAAUAUUGGACAAUGGGCGAAAGCCUGAUGCAGCCAGGCGGCGUGUAUGAAGAAGGCGUUCGGGUUGUAAAGUACUUUCAGCGAGGAGGCGUUACUCGAAGAAGAAGCACCGGCUAACUCCGUGCCAGCAGCCGCGGUAAUAC